rnacentral:rRNA from 1 species
GAUGAACGCUGGCGGCGUGCCUAAUACAUGCAAGUCGAGCGGACGGACGAGAAGCUUGCUUCUCUGAUGUUAGCGGCGGACGUGUGAGUAACACGUGGAUAACCUACCUAUAAGACUGGGAUAACUUCGGGACACCGGAGCUAAUACCGGAUAAUAUUUUGAACCGCAUGGUUCAAAAGUGAGAGACGGUCUUGCUGUCACUUCUAGCUGCAUCCGAGCUGCAUGAGCUAGUUGGUACGGUAACGGCCUACCAAGGCAACGAUGCAUGGCCGACCUGAGAGGGUGAUCGGCCACACUGGAACUGAGACACGGUCCAGACUCCUACGGGAGGCAGCAGUAGGGAAUCUUCGGCAAUGGGCGAAAGCCUGGCGGAGCAAGGCGGCGUGAGUGAUGAAGGUCUUCGGAUCGUAAAGCCCUGUUAUUAGGGAAGAACAGAUGUGGACUUAACCGUGCACAUCGUGACGGUACCUAAUCAGAAAGCCACGGCUAACUACGUG